AAGGGUAAUUUUGUAAAUUAAUUAAAAUAACCUAAUAAGACAAAUGAUAGCUUGUUUCAUUCUUUCUUCUUCAACCGUGGGAAAGAACUGAAAAUGGCAGCCAUGGAUGAGCUCCAUUCAGCCAAGCUUCUACGGAUUAUAUAGAUGAUGAAAAUUGAGACUUGGACCUAGAACGGAAAGAAAUCGAUUUAUGGACGAGUACGUCCUUUUCACAUUUGUGGUAUCGAGAGUUUCCAGGUUAGCUCGGGUUGGAGGCCG